GGAAGUGUGGCAGAACGGUAAUGCAGCGGCUUGCUAAGCCGUCGUCGCGGUCACACCGCGGCUGGGGGUUCAAAUCCCUCCACUUCCGCC
rnacentral:tRNA from 1 species